UUUUUGUUAUGUUCGUAGAAUUAUUCUUUCAUUAUGAACUUUGUUCUUGCUUUUAUUCAUCAUCAUCUAAUUUUCGUAUUCCUGUUCGUGUAGGGGUUGUUUGGAAGGUAAUGUCAAAGAAUACCAUAUCUUUGUCUAUGGUUACAUCACCUUUCGAUCUAGGUAUUUCAAUUUUUGUUUAAAUUUUAGAUUGAUUAUUCAUUAAAAUUAUAUAUUUCGUUGUUAUAUUGGUUGUUUUGUUGUAGACGAUGUUUGAGAAGACGUUACAUUGCUAUCUACAAAUUCAAUAUCUAAACUGCAAGGUUGGAUGGAAAACAAUUCGAUGGAUGGUAUACUGAACUUUGUUCUUUCUUUUAUUCAUCAUCCUCUAAUUUCCGUUUUCCUGUUCGUGUAGGGGUUGUUUGUAAGUUAAUGUCAAAGAAUACCGC
rnacentral:lncRNA from 1 species